UGUUAUGGCGGCUGUGCGUGGGAGACCGAAAGGUCUGCCGGUUUCCAUUCGGGCCGGUUCGCCAACCUGCGCACAGCUGCCACCAAU
rnacentral:antisense_RNA from 1 species